rnacentral:lncRNA from 1 species
UAUUCAACUCAAUAUAAUGACUGCUAAAAAUGAAACCAUUAACCAAAGUGGCAGGUCCAAUAACAUUCUAGAUGGAAAUAAAAUAACACAUUCCUAAAGUGCAUUACAUAAUAACACAUUGCAAAGUCCAAUAGUAAACAAUAUUAUUCAUAAACCAAACAUAGAACUAGCAGGUAAUGUGACUACUGAGUGCAACGAGGCCACUUUCCCUUCCUUUGGGCAUCAGGAUUCUUCUCCAUCACUUCCUUCGCUUUGUGCACACGCUCAAGCUUCAUCUCCCUCUCCUCCCUGUAUGCAGCAACAUGCCUCCUUUCCUACUCUUCCUUGUGCUCCUUCUGUAGAGCCUCCUCUCUGCGUCUCUUCUCCAAUAUCUUCGCACGCUCCGCAUCCCACUUCUUCUAGACUUGUAGAAGCCACUUGUUUGACACCUUGAUCUCAUUGUCAAUCCACUGCUCAAAAUCACACAAUGGUGGAGGGGUCGGCAACAAAAAAAGUUGUUACAAAAAAAAAGCAUGCUCCAUAUAAUAUAAUAUGCGUAAUGCAGAACAAAAAAAAUCUCACAAUAAAUUUACUACGACAUUGUUGCAGUGUAGGCUCCCAUGCAAAAUUGAAACACAUCCAAUAUCUCUGCUUAUAGGUUUCCUCAUCUAUAGAAAUUUCUACCAUGCA